GACGAACGCUGGCGGCGUGCUUAACACAUGCAAGUCGAACGGAAAGGCCCCUUUGGGGGUACUCGAGUGGCGAACGGGUGAGUAGCACGUGAGUAACCUGCCCUUGACUUCGGGAUAACUUCAGGAAACUGGGGCUAAUACCGGAUAGGAAUCCUUGCUGCAUGGUGGGGGUUGGAAAGCUUCGGCGGUUUUGGAUGGACUCGCGGCUUAUCAGCUUGUUGGUGGGGUAGUGGCUUACCAAGGCUUUGACGGGUAGCCGGCCUGAGAGGGCGACCGGCCACAUUGGGACUGAGAUACGGCCCAGACUCCUACGGGAGGCAGCAGUGGGGAAUAUUGCACAAUGGGCGGAAGCCUGAUGCAGCAACGCCGCGUGCGGGAUGACGGCCUUCGGGUUGUAAACCGCUUUCAGCAGGGGCGAAGCUUUUGUGACGGUACCUGCAGAAGAAGCACCGGCUAACUACGUG
rnacentral:rRNA from 1 species